GUUUUAAUAAUUUAUAAUAAAAUAUUGGUCUUGUAAAUCAAAAAAAAGAAUAUUCUUUUAAAACU
rnacentral:tRNA from 1 species